rnacentral:rRNA from 1 species
UAGUAGAGGCGAUUGAACAGGGAAGAGCACAAAAUGUAAAUCUCAGCGGCAACGCUGCGAAUUGUAGUCUCAAGUUGCAUUACCAGCGCAGUCGUAAGGUAAAUUCUUCUGGAGUGAAGAACCACAGAGGGUGAGAGUCCCGUAUGUCUUGCGAUACUGCGUGUACGGUGUGCACACAAAGAGUCGCGCUCCUUGGGAAUGGAGCGCUAAGUGGGUGGUAAAUGUCAUCCAAUGCUAAAUAUUGGUGGGAGACCGAUAGCGAACAAGUACCGUGAGGGAAAGAUGAAAAGAACUUUGAAAAGAGAGUUAAAAGUGUCUGAAAUUGCUGGUAGGGAAGCGGUUCGUAUUGUCCUUGUUAGAGGAGAUGUAAUGUGAGAAAGUGGACUACUUAUGGUAACCGCAAGGGACUGUAGGUAGAUAAGCUCAUUGUGUUGCUAUCACUCCUUUAGCUUAGUCUACGUCAGUUGUGACUGCGUGAAAACCCGGGAGGCUUCGGCUGAACGACGGCUCACGCGGAUGCAACUGAAGAGGUGAACGCC